rnacentral:rRNA from 1 species
UACGGAGGGUGCGAGCGUUAAUCGGAAAUACUGGGCGUAAAGCGCACGCAGGCGGUUUGUUAAGCUAGAUGUGAAAGCCCCGGGCUCAACCUGGGAUGGUCAUUUAGAACUGGCAGACUAGAGUCUUGGAGAGGGGAGUGGAAUUCCAGGUGUAGCGGUGAAAUGCGUAGAUAUCUGGAGGAACAUCAGUGGCGAAGGCGACUCCCUGGCCAAAGACUGACGCUCAUGUGCGAAAGUGUGGGUAGCGAACAGG